rnacentral:tRNA from 2 species
GGGCGUUUAGCUCAGCGGGAGAGCGCUGCCUUCACACGGCAGAGGUCGUGGGUUCAAAUCCCUCAACGCCCACCA